rnacentral:rRNA from 1 species
UGCAGUCGAACGGCAGCAUGAUCUAGCUUGCUAGAUUGAUGGCGAGUGGCGAACGGGUGAGUAAUACAUCGGAACGUGCCCUGUAGUGGGGGAUAACUAGUCGAAAGAUUAGCUAAUACCGCAUACGACCUGAGGGUGAAAGUGGGGGACCGCAAGGCCUCAUGCUAUAGGAGCGGCCGAUGUCUGAUUAGCUAGUUGGUGAGGUAAAGGCUCACCAAGGCGACGAUCAGUAGCUGGUCUGAGAGGACGAUCAGCCACACUGGGACUGAGACACGGCCCAGACUCCUACGGGAGGCAGCAGUGGGGAAUUUUGGACAAUGGGGGCAACCCUGAUCCAGCAAUGCCGCGUGUGUGAAGAAGGCCUUCGGGUUGUAAAGCACUUUUGUCCGGAAAGAAAUCGCACUUACUAAUAUUAGGUGUGGAUGACGGUACCGGAAGAAUAAGGACCGGCUAACUACGUGCCAGCAGCCGCGGUAAUACGUAGGGUCCAAGCGUUAAUCGGAAUUACUGGGCGUAAAGCGUGCGCAGGCGGUUGUGCAAGACCGAUGUGAAAUCCCCGGGCUUAACCUGGGAAUUGCAUUGGUGACUGCACGGCUAGAGUGUGUCAGAGGG